rnacentral:misc_RNA from 1 species
AACCUAGCACACCUGCGGUGUGUACCUGCGGAAGGAUCAUUAACGAGUUACCACUCUAUAACCCUUUGUGAACAUACCUACAUGUUGCUUCGGCGGUCGGCCCCCCCGGGCCCCCGGCCCCGCUCACGCGGGGCGUCCGCCGGAGGAUAACCAAACUCUGAUUUAACGACGUUUCUUCUGAGUGGCACAAGCAAAUAAUCAAAACUUUUAGCAACGGAUCU